rnacentral:lncRNA from 1 species
AUGCAAUAGUGGCAUUGCCCCUGGACAUUUUAAUCUGAUUAAUUGCUGUUUGUUUUUACAGCUGUUAAUUUUUAUCUCUAUAAUCCUUUUGUGUAUACUAAUUUGACAAAAUGAUUGUGUGCAGUAAAUUUAAAUUCUAAAUGAAAUCUCAUAAAGAUUUUUCACACAUUUUUUUAUACGACCGCAAAAUUUGAAAAAAUUUUCGUCGUAUAUUGCUAUCACGUUGGCGUCGGCGUCGUCGUCGUCGUCGUCCGAAUACUUUUAGUUUUCGCACUCUAACUUGAGUAAAAGUGAAUAGAAAUCUAUGAAAUUUUAACACAAGGUUUAUGACCACAAAAGGAAGGUUGGGAUUGAUUUUGGGAGUUUUGGUCACAACAUUUUAGGAAUUAGGGGCCAAAAAGGGCCCAAAUAAGCAUUUUCUUGGUUUUCGCACUAUAACUUUAGUUUAAGUUAAUAGAAAUCUAUGAAAUUUUGACACAAGGUUUAUGACCACAAAAGAAAGGUUGGUAUUGAUUUUGGGAGUUUUGGUUCCAACAGUUUAGGAAUUAGGGGCCAAAAAAGGGCCCAAAUAAGCAUUAUUCUUGGUUUUCGCACAAUAACUUUAGUAUAAGUAAAUAGAAAUCUAUGAAAUUUAAACACAAGGUUUA